AACGCACAGCGAAAGGUGCUUGCACCUUUCAAGUGAGUGGCGAACGGGUGAGUAACACGUGGACAACCUGCCUCAAGGCUGGGGAUAACAUUUGGAAACAGAUGCUAAUACCGAAUAAAACUUAGUGUCGCAUGACACAAAGUUAAAAGGCGCUUCGGCGUCACCUAGAGAUGGAUCCGCGGUGCAUUAGUUAGUUGGUGGGGUAAAGGCCUACCAAGACAAUGAUGCAUAGCCGAGUUGAGAGACUGAUCGGCCACAUUGGGACUGAGACACGGCCCAAACUCCUACGGGAGGCUGCAGUAGGGAAUCUUCCACAAUGGGCGAAAGCCUGAUGGAGCAACGCCGCGUGUGUGAUGAAGGCUUUCGGGUCGUAAAGCACUGUUGUAUGGGAAGAACAGCUAGAAUAGGAAAUGAUUUUAGUUUGACGGUACCAUACCAGAAAGGGACGGCUAAAUACGUGCCAGCAGCCGCGGUAAUACGUAUGUCCCGAGCGUUAUCCGGAUUUAUUGGGCGUAAAGCGAGCGCAGACGGUUUAUUAAGUCUGAUGUGAAAGCCCGGAGCUCAACUCCGGAAUGGCAUUGGAAACUGGUUAACUUGAGUGCAGUAGAGGUAAGUGGAACUCCAUGUGUAGCGGUGGAAUGCGUAGAUAUAUGGAAGAACACCAGUGGCGAAGGCGGCUUACUGGACUGCAACUGACGUUGAGGCUCGAAAGUGUGGGUAGCAAACAGGAUUAGAUACCCUGGUAGUCCACACCGUAAACGAUGAACACUAGGUGUUAGGAGGUUUCCGCCUCUUAGUGCCGAAGCUAACGCAUUAAGUGUUCCGCCUGGGGAGUACGACCGCAAGGUUGAAACUCAAAGGAAUUGACGGGGACCCGCACAAGCGGUGGAGCAUGUGGUUUAAUUCGAAGCAACGCGAAGAACCUUACCAGGUCUUGACAUCCUUUGAAGCUUUUAGAGAUAGAAGUGUUCUCUUCGGAGACAAAGUGACAGGUGGUGCAUGGUCGUCGUCAGCUCGUGUCGUGAGAUGUUGGGUUAAGUCCCGCAACGAGCGCAACCCUUAUUGUUAGUUGCCAGCAUUCAGAUGGGCACUCUAGCGAGACUGCCGGUGACAAACCGGAGGAAGGCGGGGACGACGUCAGAUCAUCAUGCCCCUUAUGACUGGGCUACACACGUGCUACAAUGGCGUAUACAACGAGUUGCCAACCCGCGAGGG
rnacentral:rRNA from 1 species